rnacentral:tRNA from 1 species
GGGGCUGUAGCUCACCUGGUAGAGCGUAGCAUUCGCAUUGCUAAGGUAGGGAGUUCGAGUCUCCCCAGCUCCA